CCUACGUGAGGCUGCAGUGAGGAAUAUUGGUCAAUGGGCGCGAGCCUGAACCAGCCAAGUAGCGUGAAGGAUGACUGCCCUACGGGUUGUAAACUUCUUUUAUAAAGGAAUAAAGUGAGGCACGUGUGCCUUUUUGUAUGUACUUUAUGAAUAAGGAUCGGCUAACUCCGUGCCAGCAGCCGCGGUAAUACGGAGGAUCCGAGCGUUAUCCGGAUUUAUUGGGUUUAAAGGGAGAGUAGAUGGGUUGUUAAGUAAGUUGUGAAAGUUUGCGGCUCAACCGUAAAAUUGCAAUUGAUACUGGCAGUCUUGAGUACAGUUGAGGUAGGCGGAAUUCGUGGUGUAGCGGUGAAAUGCUUAGAUAUCACGAAGAACUCCGAUUGCGAAGGCAGCUUACUAAACUGCCACUGACAUUGAUGCUCGAAAGUGUGGAUAUCAAACAGGAUUAGAUACCCGUGUAGUC
rnacentral:rRNA from 1 species